rnacentral:rRNA from 1 species
UACGUAGGUGGCAAGCGUUGUCCGGAUUUAUUGGGUUUAAAGGGUGCGUAGGCGGUUUCAUAAGUCAGUGGUGAAAUACGGCAGCUCAACUGUCGAGGUGCCAUUGAUACUGCGGAACUUGAGUACUGAUGAGGUAGGCGGAAUUGACGGUGUAGCGGUGAAAUGCUUAGAUAUCGUCAAGAACACCGAUAGCGAAGGCAGCUUACCAAGCAGUAACUGACGCUGAGGCACGAAAGUGAGGGGAUCAAACAGG